AUUGAACGCUGGCGGCAGGCUUAACACAUGCAAGUCGAGCGGGGUGAUGGUGCUUGCACUAUCACUUAGCGGCGGACGGGUGAGUAAUGCUUAGGAAUCUGCCUAUUAGUGGGGGACAACAUCUCGAAAGGGAUGCUAAUACCGCAUACGUCCUACGGGAGAUAGCAGGGGAUCACUUGUGACCUUGCGCUAAUAGAUGAGCCUAAGUCGGAUUAGCUAGUUGGUGGGGUAAAGGCCUACCAAGGCGACGAUCUGUAGCGGGUCUGAGAGGAUGAUCCGCCACACUGGGACUGAGACACGGCCCAGACUCCUACGGGAGGCAGCAGUGGGGAAUAUUGGACAAUGGGGGGAACCCUGAUCCAGCCAUGCCGCGUGUGUGAAGAAGGCCUUAUGGUUGUAAAGCACUUUCAGCGAGGAGGAGGCUCUUUUUUUUCCUACCCAAGAUGAGUGGACGUUACUCGCAGAAUAAGCACCGGCUAACUCUGUGCCAGCCGCCGCCGUAA
rnacentral:rRNA from 1 species